rnacentral:rRNA from 1 species
AGCAUAUCAAUAAGCGGAGGAAAAGAAACCAACAGGGAUUGCCCUAGUAACGGCGAGUGAAGCGGCAACAGCUCAAAUUUGAAAUCUGGCUUCGGCCCGAGUUGUAAUUUGCAGAGGAUGCUUUUGGUGCGGUGCCUUCCGAGUUCCCUGGAACGGGACGCCACAGAGGGUGAGAGCCCCGUAUGGUCGGACACCAAUCCUGUGUAAAGCUCCUUCGACGAGUCGAGUAGUUUGGGAAUGCUGCUCUAAAUGGGAGGUAAAUCUCUUCUAAAGCUAAAUACCGGCCAGAGACCGAUAGCGCACAAGUAGAGUGAUCGAAAGAUGAAAAGCACCUUGAAAAGGGGGUUAAACAGUACGUGAAAUUGUUGAAAGGGAAGCACUUGUGACCAGACUUGGGCCGGGCGGCUCAUCAGGGGUUCUCCCCUGUGCAUUCCGCCCGGUACAGGCCAGCAUCGGUUCUUACCGGGGGAUAAGAACGGCAGGAACGUGGCUCCCUCUCGGGGGAGUGUUAUAGCCUGCCGUACGAUACCCUGGCGGGGACCGAGGUUCGCGCUUCCGCAAGGAUGCUGGCGUAAUGGUUACUAGUGACCCGUCUUGAAACACGGACCAAGGAGUCGUCCAUUAGAGCGAGCGUUUGGGUGUAAAACCCGCACGCGUAAUGAAAGUGAAAUUAGGUGAGAGCUUCGGCGCAUCAUCGACCGAUCCUGAUGUUCUCGGAUGGAUUUGAGUAAGAGUUUUAACGGACGGACCCGAAAGACAGUGAACUAUGCUUGUAUAGGGUGAAGCCAGAGGAAACUCUGGUGGAGGCUCGCAGCGGUUCUGACGUGCAAAUCGAUCGUCAAAUAUGAGCAUGGGGGCGAAAGACUAAUCGAACUGUCUAGUAGCUGGUUACCGCCGAA